GAAAUGCGAUAAGUAAUGUGAAUUGCAGAAUUCAGUGAAUCAUCGAAUCUUUGAACGCACAUUGCGCCCCCUGGUAUUCCGGGGGGCAUGCCUGUCCGAGCGUCAUUACUGCCCUCAAGCGCGGCUUGUGUGUUGGGCCCUCGCCCCCCCGGGGGCGGGCCCGAAAGGCAGUGGCGGCGCCGUGCCCGGUCCUCGAGCGUAUGGGGCUCUGUCACCCGCUCUGGAGGCCCGGCCGGCCGCCGCCGACCCCACAGACCUCAACCACCGGUUGACCUCGGAUCAGGCAGGGAUACCCGCUGAACUUAA
rnacentral:misc_RNA from 1 species